rnacentral:misc_RNA from 1 species
CUGCAUGUCAACACAGCCAGCCAGCUUUAAACCAUAAUUAAAGGCUAAACAAAACAAGUACGGUCACACAAAGAAUCUUGUGACUGUCCUCCCAAAGCCUUUAACUACUCUUCAUAAUAUAAGAGGCAGUCAAAGUUGACUUGCAACAAUACAAAGUAAUUUUUUAAAGGCAGUGAUCAACACAUGAGAAGCUAUACUUUUAUCUCAAUCCCUCGAAGAUCCGGACCUGGAAAAUCCUGAUUUUGGAAUAUUUGGACAAAAUUUGGGGGUUCCGGAGGUCCAUGCGAGCGGAAGAAUUCCUGAAGCCGCAUUUUCAACAUCAAGAAAUACAAUUUGAAAUCAGCCAUAUUCAACUUUGCUGCUUCAUGGAAGAACGUCACGAUAUCCACUUAAGCUUACAGUUGGAAGAAACUUCAGCUUGGUACUGAGCCUGAACUUGACUUUGAGGGAUUUUCAUCGUGUAUUACACCGUGGUGGAGAAAAUAAUAUGACGAUGGAGGAUGUGGAGACGUGGUUGGAAAAGAAAGAGGAUGAUCCAGGUUACCAGAUGCUUUCAGCUGAGGAAAGUGCUGAUGCUGUUCGCGCUGGUGAUAAAGAGGACAACACGAAGAGCAGUGACGAAGAUGAGUUGCCUGUGAAGAUUCCUAGGGUUAAGUUGUCUGUUGUACGAGAGUCGCUCGACACCAUCUUAACUUAUAUUGACAGCACAUCCAGUCCUCAAAUACAAGACUAUUACGAACACCUUCGGACUCUUAGAGAACUUAUUAUCAGGGAGCAGCACAAUGCAUGGGAGCAACUUAAGAUGGACUCCUCCGUCAAACCUGUUACUGGUUCCCCUCCUGCCUCCCAGCCAAGCCAAACCAAGGGGCA